rnacentral:rRNA from 1 species
AGCAGCCGCGGUAAUUCCAGCUCCAAUAGCGUAUAUUAAAGUUGUUGCAGUUAAAAGCUCGUAGUUGAAUUUCGGGAUCGACGGGUUGGUCGCGCCUCUGGUGUGUACUGGCUCUGUCGGUUUCUCCCUUCUGAAGAACCGCGAUGUCAUUAAUUUGGUGUCGUGGGAAAUCAGGACUGUUACUUUGAAAAAUUGAGUGUUUAAAGCAGGCAUUCGCUUGAAUACAUUAGCAUGGAAUAAUGAAAUAGGACGUUUGAUCUUAUUUUGUUGGUUUCUAAGAUCGACGUAAUGAUUAGUAGGGAUAGUUGGGGGCAUUAGUAUUCAAUUGUCAGAGGUGAAA